UCCAGCUGCAUCCAUGUUGCUGCAAAGGACCUGAUUUUGUUCUUUUGUAUUACCCACUGUUCCCAGAUGUGGGAACUGAGGCUCACAGCGGUUAUCUCAGCAGGUUUAUGAGCCAGAGUUGUCCCACCCAGGAGAGUUUUGGAAGUGAGAGGAGCAACCAGCAAGAGAGGCCGGCUGCCUGGCUGACAGCCUCAUCUAUGCACAGGGAAGAUCCUCCUGAGCUCUGCAAGUGUCCAAACUUAGAAUGGGCAACCAAGGCUGACUGUGAACAUUUCCUUCCUGGUUGGGCUUUAGGAAGAGAAGCGAAAUUUGCCUAUUACCUCUACACACCUCCUGAGACCAGGAGAAUCCUGGGUGACACCAGGCAUUCAAGGAUUUCAUGAUACAGUCUCUCCCUCCCUAAUGCACCUUUCAGCGUUGCUACUGGGACAGCAUUUCCUGUGCCUUUUUAAAUUUAAUCCUCUUCACAGCCCUCUCAAGAGGCAGCGCGGCUCUGUGAUCAGGAGCAUGAAUGCUAAAGCCAGACUACCUGGGUUCUCAACUUAGCCGUGCCGUUUUGAAGCUGUGUGACCUUGGGCAGGUUUCCCAGCUGUAGCCAGCUCAUGGAGUUGAAAUGAGAAUUAAGUCAAUGUUGGGAAAACACUUAGGACAAGGCCUGGAACACAAAUUGUAGCUGUUACUAGUAUGAUCAUUAAUAGUAGUAUGUCCUUUUUCAACAUUUGAGUAAACAGAGGCUCAGAGAGGUGAAGACACUUCCUUAAGGCCACACAGAUCAGGGAUUUAAGCCAUAGCACCAGACCUGGGAGCCAAGCUAAUAUUCCCUCUCCAACACAGCCCCUUCAAGUCCCAGGCUGGAAGUGAGCUGCCCUUCUUAGCAGUGAAACACCUAGAAAAUUGGCUGACAAUUUAUCGAGGGCGUCUUCAACAAGUGUGUCAUUUUGGAUACACUGUGGGCUAACUAUUGGUGCAGAGAGUGGGCUGAGGGGUCAGCUUCUUCAGCAUCUGGCUUCAUCCAUCUCUGGGUCAUUGAUGGCUUCUGUCAAGAUGGCCAAAGAAGACCACGAGAGUCAGGCUAGGCCUCCUCCUCUGCAUAUUAAUUACAGCCAAGGCAAAAUGUGGCCACAGCAGCAGUUAGGGGACAACAGGACCCUGCAAGUCCUCAAGCAGUCAGGCAGAGGACACCUUGGGCACCCCGCCCUCUGCCCAGCACAAUCUUCCGUGGCACUGCCGAGGACCUCAGCAAGAUGCAGACCUCCAGGGAUGUCAGCCUGUCUCCUCCUCUAGGUCUGUCCUCUUUCUGUCCCUCUGUUUGUCCCUCUCCCCUCUCUCAACCACCUCUCCAUCAUUCUGCAAUCAACAUCCUGCCCAUGGUCAGGGAUAUCUAAAAAGCUAUCCAGGCUGGGCGUGGUGGCUCAUGCCUAUAAUCCCAGCAUUUUGGGAGGCCAAGGCAGGCAGAUGACUUGAGGUCAGGAGUUUGAGACCAGCCUGGACAACAUGGCGAAACCUCGUCUCUAAUAAAGCUACAAAAAUUAUCCAGGCAUGGCGGCAGCACCUGUAAUCCCAGAUACUCGGGAGGCUGAGGUGGGUGAAUCGCUUGAACCCAGGAGGAAGAGGUUGCAGUGAGCCAAGAUCGUGCCACUGCACUCCAGCCUGGGUGACAGAGCAACACUCUGUGUCAAAAUAAAUAAAUAAAUAAAAAGCUAUUCAUCUUCUGAAGAAUGGAGGUGGUCAGAUUUUGUCUUAUUUUCUGAAACAUACUUCAAUAUUUUCCUAAUACAAAUAUGUGUCAGAUAUAAAAAAUUCCAAUA
rnacentral:lncRNA from 1 species